rnacentral:rRNA from 1 species
GGCCACCGCUAUCGGGGUCCGACUAAGCCAUGCAAGUCGAGGGCCGCCCGGCUAUGGGGGCGGCCCGGCGGACGGCUCAGUAACACGUGGGUAACCUACCCUCGGGACGGGGAUAACCCCGGGAAACUGGGGCUAAUCCCCGAUAGGCGGGGCGGCCUGGAACGGUCCUCCGCCGAAAGGGGCCCGGGCCCAUGCCGCCCGGGCCCGCCCGAGGAUGGGCCUGCGGCCGAUUAGGUAGUUGGCGGGGUAACGGCCCGCCAAGCCGAUAAUCGGUACGGGCGGUGAGAGCCGGAGCCCGGAGACGGGGACUGAGACAAGGCCCCGGGCCCUACGGGGCGCAGCAGGCGCGAAACCUCCGCAAUGCGGGCAACCGCGACGGGGGGACCCCGAGUGCCGUCGGGGCAAAGCCCCGGCGGCUGUACCGGGGUGUAAAAAGCCCCGGGUAGAAAGCGGCGGGCAAGACCGCUGCCAGCCGCCGCGGUAAUAGCGGCGCCGCAAGUGGUGGCCGCUUUUAUUGGGCCUAAAGGGGCCGUAGCCGGUCCCGUGGGUCCCCGCCGAAAGCCCGCGGCUUAACCGCGGGAGUCGGCGGGGAAACUGCGGGUCUUGGGACCGGGAGAGGCCGGAGGUACCCCCGGGGUAGGGGUGAAAUCCUGUCAUCCCGGGGGGACCGCCAGUGGCGAAGGCGUCCGGCUGGAACGGGUCCGACGGUGAGGGCCGAAAGCCGGGGGAGCAAACCGGAUUAGAUACCCGGGUAGUCCCGGCUGUAAACGAUGCGGACUAGGUGUUGGGGGCGGCCAUGAGCCGCCCCAGUGCCGUAGGGAAGCCGUUAAGUCCGCCGCCUGGGGAGUACGGCCGCAAGGCUGAAACUUAAAGGAAUUGGCGGGGGAGCACCACAACCGGUGGAGCCUGCGGUUUAAUUGGAUUCAACGCCGGAAACCUUACCGGGGGCGACAGCAGGAUGAAGGCCAGGUUGACGACCUUGCCGGACGAGCUGAGAGGAGGUGCAUGGCCGCCGUCAGCUCGUGCCGUGAGGUGUCCUGUUAAGUCAGGUAACGAGCGAGACCCCCGCCCGCAGUUGCCAGCGGGCCCCGCAAGGGGCGCCGGGCACUCUGCGGGGAUCGCCGCCGUUA